CUCAGAGACCCUUUCCUAGGGAGCCCCUUUUCCCUCCUACCUCAGGUGCGGACGAAGCCCUGGCCAGGCUCCUUCUGUCUCUCAUGCAGCUCCCUUCUGUCUCUCAUGCGGCUCCCUUCUGUCUCUCAUGCGGCUCCCUUCUGUCUCUCAUGCGGCUCCCUCCUGUCUCUCAUGCGGCUCCCUCGUGUCUCUCAUGCGGCUCCCUUCUGUCUCUGGAGAGCGGCUGGGACGGGACUGGGAGCAGAUGAGAGGCUAAGGUCCCUAUGAGGCCGCAGCUCUUGGGCACCUGGCCGUGCCCUCACUGGACGCUGCCUGCUGUGUCGAGGGGCCACGUGCCCAGGGCUCCUGCCUUGUGUCCCCCUCAGGUGCUGAUACCUGUGUUCGCGCUGGGCCGCGCCCAGGAGCUCUGCAUCCUCCUGGAGACCUUCUGGGAGCGCAUGAACCUGAAGGUGCCCAUCUACUUCUCCACGGGGCUGACCGAGAAGGCCAACCACUACUACAAGCUGUUCAUCCCCUGGACCAACCAGAAGAUCCGCAAGACUUUCGUGCAGAGGAACAUGUUUGAGUUCAAGCACAUCAAGGCCUUCGACCGGGCUUUUGCUGACAACCCAGGACCGAUGGUUGUGUUUGCCACGCCAGGAAUGCUGCACGCUGGGCAGUCCCUGCAGAUCUUCCGGAAAUGGGCCGGAAACGAAAAGAACAUG
rnacentral:sRNA from 1 species